UGGGUUCUUCCGAACAUGUUC
rnacentral:siRNA from 1 species